AACUUUCGGCAACGGACCACUUGGCUCCUCGCAUCGAUGAAGAACGCAGCGAAACGCGAAAUGUAAUGUGAAUUGCAGAAAUAUAGUGAAUCAUCGAAUCUUUGAACGCAUCUUGCGCCCGGUGGUAUUCCGCCGUGCAUGCCUGUCUGAGUGUCAUUACUAUCUCAACCCUAGCCAUGUUGUUAUGACGUUGCUAAGCGGAUUGGAACUUGGACUUGGCGGGGUUCGCCCUGCCGGUCUUAAAUGGAGUAGGCUAGCCGACUAUCAGCGGUUUGACCGGGUGUUGUAGAGUCGCCUCACUUGGGACGCUGAGCGGAUUAGUUGAAUUGUAAUUGUAUUACUCAAGCGAUUUAGACCUCAGAUCAGGUAGGAUUACCCGCUGAACUUAAGCAUAUCAAUAAGCGGAGGCU
rnacentral:misc_RNA from 1 species